GACGAACGCUGGCGGCGUGCUUAACACAUGCAAGUCGAACGGAAAGGCCCUGCUUUUGUGGGGUGCUCGAGUGGCGAACGGGUGAGUAACAAGUGAGUAACCUGCCCUUGACUUUGGGAUAACUUCAGGAAACUGGGGCUAAUACAGGAUAGGAGCUCCUGCUGCAAGGUGGGGGUUGGAAAGUUUCGGCGGUUGGGGAUGGACUCGCGGCUUAUCAGCUUGUUGGUGGGGUAGUGGCUUACCAAGGCUUUGACGGGAAGCCGGCCUGGGAGGGUGACCGGCCACAUUGGGACUGAGAUACGGCCCAGACUCCUACGGGAGGCAGCAGUGGGGAAUAUUGCACAAUGGGCGGAAGCCUGAUGCAGCAACGCCGCGUGCGGGAUGACGGCCUUCGGGUUGUAACCCGCUUUCGCCUGUGACGAAGCGUGAGUGACGGUAAUGGGUAAAGAAGCACCGGCUAACUACGUG
rnacentral:rRNA from 1 species